UGGCUGCAGCAGUACAAAGCGCUAGGCUGAAGGUGAAUGAGAACAGGAAAAUUCUACAAGGGAAACGCUUACAAAAUCCGACCGAUAAUUCGAAAUAAAUGAUGAAAUAAUCAAAUCAAAUCUAUGGAAUAAUUGACUUAUACAAAAUUCAUGUGAGACCAGCGAGCCGCGGCCCCUAGCCAAAGCUAGCCACGUACCAAGGAGCAGCAGCAGGAGCAACUCACACACACCGAAGGACCCGCAUCAUCAUCAUCUUUCCUGCCCAGUCGUCGCCACUGCUGCCGCCCUUGCCCCGGAGUCACACUUCGUUAGACACUGCUCAAAACCCAUCAUCUAACCAGUAAAACUGACUAUAAACAGGCACAUUAAGUCCAAGGCAAAGCGCAGGCAGGCCCAGACUUUGAUUGGGGAGAGGCAUCAUCGGAAAGAGCGGCAACACUGUCUGACUAGGAGCAGAAUCACAACACAACAAAAUGCCGCCAAAUGCAAAAUCGGAAGCGGACGCCAAGCCGGACGCAGAGCCAGCGCCCGAGUCGGCAACAGAACUAGAUUCCGUGGACCAGAAGCUGGAAGAAACACAUCACUCCCGGUUCCGCGAGCUGGAGAAGCAGGAACAGGAGUCGGCCGCCGAAGAGGCAGCGGCAGCGGCCGCCGAAAGUCAACGAAUCGCACAGGUGGAGACAACAACAAGGAGCGCAACCACAGAGGCUCAGGAAUCAACUACCACCUCCUUGCCGGUCAUCAAAAAGAUUGAGCAUGCCGGCGAAGUGGUCACCGAGGCGAUUGCGGAGCGCACGGGCCUGCCGACAUGGGGCGUGGUGGCCAUCAUAAUACUCGUAUUCCUCGUCGUCUUUGGUAUUAUAUUCUUCUGUGUGCGGAGGUUCCUGAAGAAGCGAAGAACCAAAGAUGGUAAGGGUAAGAAGGGUGUCGAUAUGAAAUCGGUACAGUUGUUGGGAUCGGCCUACAAGGAGAAAGUUCAGCCUGAUAUGGAGGAACUCGCCGAAAAUGCCGAAGAGGACGAGGAGGACAAGCAGAGCGAACAGAAGCUGGGGCGUCUCAACUUCAAGCUGGAAUACGACUUCAAUUCGAAUAGCUUGGCCGUUACGGUCAUACAGGCCGAGGAGCUGCCCGCCCUGGACAUGGGCGGCACUUCGGAUCCCUAUGUCAAGGUCUACCUGCUGCCGGACAAGAAGAAGAAGUUCGAGACCAAAGUGCAUCGCAAAACGCUGAGUCCGGUCUUCAAUGAGACGUUCACCUUUAAGAGUUUACCCUACGCCGAUGCCAUGAACAAAACGCUCGUGUUUGCCAUUUUCGACUUCGAUCGCUUCUCCAAGCACGACCAGAUCGGCGAGGUGAAGGUCCCUCUGUGCACGAUCGAUCUGGCGCAGACCAUCGAGGAGUGGCGCGACCUCGUCAGCGUUGAGGGUGAAGGCGGACAGGAAAAGCUGGGAGACAUCUGCUUCUCGCUGCGCUACGUCCCGACUGCUGGCAAGCUAACCGUCGUCAUACUGGAGGCCAAGAACCUGAAGAAGAUGGACGUGGGCGGACUGUCUGAUCCAUAUGUGAAAAUUGCAAUCAUGCAAAAUGGCAAACGUUUGAAAAAGAAGAAGACAAGUAUCAAAAAAUGCACCCUCAACCCUUACUAUAAUGAGUCGUUCUCAUUUGAAGUACCAUUUGAACAAAUACAAAAAAUCUGUCUCGUUGUGACCGUUGUGGACUACGAUCGUAUUGGUACCUCUGAGCCCAUAGGACGCUGCAUACUCGGCUGUAUGGGAACCGGAACUGAGCUGCGCCACUGGUCGGACAUGUUGGCCUCCCCGCGUCGACCCAUUGCCCAGUGGCACACACUCAAGGACCCCGAGGAGACCGACGAGAUACUGAAGAACAUGAAGUAAAGCGCUACAUGGCCAUGGCUGACAAAUGCAGACUUACAGCACAUCUAUCAAACGUAUGAAAAUAACCAAAGAAACCACAUAAGAAAGCCGUCAAGCAUAGAAAUCGAUGCAUCAUCAGCUCUAACUGAUCUAACAGAUCCUCCUGAUCCUCACCCGGAACGACAAACAACAAUCAAAUGAAAUAUCGUAGUUAAAGCAAAUUGUUCAUCUAUGCAGUUAACCCACACAUACAAAAAAAAAAACAACACACACACAUACACACAGGAAUCAAAGCCGAUUUAAUGAUAACUUUAGGAAUAUAAGUAACCGAAAUGAUUUGGCUUGGACACAGUUAUAUAUUCGUGCGAGUGUUCAUUUCCAGAUCUACUACUCGCAGGACCUUAUUGUUGUCACUGAUUGCGAUUUUUCCAAAUAAAUUAACGCUAAAAUGAAUACAGAAAUGUUCUACAUACUCAGCGUAUGGACGUAUGGAUAAAUUAAUUAAACAAAACGGAAGUUGUGGGGUAUCAUUUUAAAAGUUAAGUUUCAUUCGAUUUUAAAUUAGUCCAGCGACAAAGUGUCGGAAUCUAACCAGUUUUCACUUUGCUUUUCAACUGUUGAAGGAUUACUAGCGAAUAAUAUUACUAAUGAACAUAAACAAAGGCAUCACAACUGUUAUGUAAAUUAUUUAUUAUGUUUAAAUUAUGAGAAUGUACUUAACUGUGUAAGUAUAAAUCAACAUAUAUGGAUAAUAGACAAAGAAGCAACACAUGACAGACAUAUGAAACAGAAACAGAGGAAGGAAAGCAGAAUCAUAAAUUAUAUAUAUUAUACAUAUAUAAAUAUUAUGUAACCCUUGCAUAGACUAAUGUUAUGUAUGUAUACACAGAUCUGAGUUUUGAAGACCUAACAAAAUCAGACGUAUAUUCGUAAGUAGAGAGGAAGCCCCAAAACCAAAAGCAAAUAACAAAAGUUAAACUUUAAAGCGUGAUUUCAAUGGAAUAUAUCAUCAGUUUAAUCUUUACAAAAUAUCGAACAUUUUGCACCGUGGAUCAGAUUGGAAUCUUUGUUUUGUGUUUAUUUAUAUUAAAGAAUGUUAGGUAAGAAGAAGUACUAUAUUACGGCUCAGUUUUUUUUUAGGGAAAACUCAUUUUCUAACGCGAACUUUUAACCUUUUUUAUUUGUGGAUCUCCUGAUUAAAAUCUUCAUUUAUUUUCGACUAGAAUCUAUCCCUUUGUUGCUCCUUCGACUCAAGUCUUGAGGUUUCUACAUUUCUUCGUUUUGGACUCUACCACACUCAAUAAUUUAGAAAUCAUUAUAGGACCUAAUGAAAAUAUACAUACUAACUAAAUGAUUAUGGCAAAAUGUUAAAACAGAAAAAGAAAUAUUAAGAACAAUAAUAGUUA